CGCAGUUAGACAGGCUCGCUGGUAUGG
rnacentral:piRNA from 1 species